CCAAAGAAUUUUUUUUUUAUUUUCAUUUAAAUGACCAAACAAAAACUUGCUUCACAGCUUUAGAGGGAUUAAUCACCUAACUAAUACUUUUUAAAUGCAAAAAAUAUAAAUAAACUUUGCUGAAGACACUAUAGCUAAAAAAUGUUUUUCGUGGUUCAAAGAACUUCUUUCACCUUUUUGCCAUUUUGGAAACACUGUGCACUGGUGGAUUCUCCUGUGAAUUGAAAAUGUCCAAAACUAUCGAUUUUCAACUGCCAACAACCUGCCCUUCAAUAUAAAAAGUUCGCGAAAAGUUGAAAAAUUUUCUAUUUUUACGCACCGACGGUACAUGUCCAAAACUAUUAAUAACAUCUUCAGUAUAAUAAACUUUCCCUAAAAGUUGAAAAAAAUCCAUUUUGACACAUCAUCGAACCACUUGUGUAUUGAAAAUGUCCAAAACUAUUGAUUGUUAACUGCUAAUAACUUUCCCUUCAAUAUAAAACACUCCCGAAAAGUUGAAAAAAAGAUUCCAUUUUGACACAUCGUCGAACCCCCCUGUACAUAGAAAAUGUUCAAUACUAUUGAUUUUCAACUGUCAACAACAUGUCCUUUAAUAAUUAUUUAUUUUCAAACAAUUGAAAGCUAACCGUAUCAACUUCAACUCCAAUUAACGGGAAAGUAACGCAAAAUGUAUCGCGAUAACCACCGAUGAAUUAUCGACGAUGACGAUGAAUCCGACGAUACAUUAUCGUUAACGGAGUUUCCGAUGACGUUGACGGGUGGUUAACGUUAUCGACGAUGACGAUUAAUUAUCGAUUAACAACCCUGAUUUGGACUCACUGGAAGUUAAACUCACUCCACAGUUAAAAGGCAGUAGAAGGGCGUUUGCGCGUGGAAUGUCAGCAUUAGAGAGUUCAGGCGAAUGUCCUAUAAAAUAAUAUUUUCAAGCCUUAACCAACCAGGUUUCUUCGCAUUAACCCUGCAAUUGUCACGUAUGAUAAUAACCGACAACAAAUGUAGUACCAGGAGAUUACUUUUAACGAAGCAUUUCACUUGUAGAGCAGUGAAAUUCGCAAACAAAAUAAGUAAAAUGAAAAUCCCGUUUCACGUUGCGCAGAUUGCCCCCAGUAUCAAACCAUCAACAGAAACUUAUAUCAGUAUUCAACAAACCAACAUAAUCUCCUUCAAAUUGUCAAUCGCAGCCACACUACUAAUACACUAGAAGAAAACUAAUAAAAGACCACACUCCUUCGCAGUGCACUCUGGACUGGAGCGAGUGCCGCGGUGAAUUUAUUUGAGAAUGCCAUACACGCCACCGAAAAACUACCUAAAAUUGAGUACUUUUGGCUCAAUCUCGUGGUAUCGUGCAGGAAGGUAAAAUUAGGUAAACCGUGUUGAAGACAGUUUCCAUUUAACUACGGCAAAAAUCUUAACUCAACCUUGAGUUCAAUUUGCUUAAAUUUAAGUUGAAUUUACCUAAUUUUGAGUCCACCCCAAACAACUUAAAAGUACAUUACUGCACGGACGACCUCGACUGAGUCGAAUCUCUCAUUUUGUUUUUGAUAACACUAAUAAGUGCAAAAGCGACGCACAAUUCAAAAGUACCUAAAUUGAGGUUAAAAGAAUUUAUUCUGUGGGUUGUUUUAUUUUUGCGUGUACAUAACUGAAAGAGAAAGUGUGCGCGGUCUCUCGCACCCAACCAACCCAUCGCCUUAAAAUUCGUUUAUUUAGCUCGAAAAAAAGAGCGUUCUGUUUUUUUCUGUAGUCUGUGAUCAUUGUAUGCAUAAAACUGGCGCGCCUGUACAUCAUUGAAAUGAUGCCUGACAGCAGUCAUGGAAUAUAUUGCUUCGAGUUGACGGAACGUAGCAACUACUACUAGGUUAGAAAGCAAACUGACAAUUUUUUUCUUAUGGGCUGCAUUUAUAUGUGCAUCGCGGUUCAUUGGAUGGCAAAAAGGCGGUUCUAGCAACGCUCGCUGCUUGGUUGAAUUGUUCGGACCAAUCAGCGCUGAUAAUUACCACUUUCACAAAAUACAUAAUUAUAGUGCAAAAAUAUAGCGAUUUCGAUCAGUACAACAGAAGUUAUUCGCAAUUGAAAACUGGGAAAAUAUCUCAGCAGAAACUUUGAAACGGAACCCCUAUAUUGAAACGUUAGAAGUAUUCUACUUCAAAAGCUUUCGAAAGUGACACGGAUAACCUGAAAUUUGAUAUUCUAUUUCAGAAAGAACCAUUGAUAUGGUGCACUUAAGAUACCUAAUCGAAUAUUGGGUAGCUAUAUUACGUCGCUGUUGUGCUAUCUUAUGACAAGCGCCAUUGUGCACAUUUCGAGAAAAACGAUUUUUAAAGUUUGAGAUUGAAUAUCAUGAAACUUAUAAAUGGUAGAAAAAAUUCAGAGAAGACAAUUGAUGCUUCUACCUAUUCUGUACUAAUCUCUCAAAUAUUACGAAGAUCGGUUGACUAUGUUGCGAGUUUUCACUAAAAAUAUAAACAAAAGUCGCACUCACACGUGUCAUAGGUGUGUAUUUAUGACAAAAUUUGUAUGGCGUGUCAUAACCGUGCAUGGAAAAUUUUCCAUAGAAAAAACCAUCAAUUAUUAACUUUUAUUCAUAUCUUUGGCUUCAUUUGGUCUAUAAACAAUCGGUUAGAUGUAUUUUGAAGGAAAUGAGUCAGGAUUUCUAGAAAAAAUAGUUAUUUUUAGUUGCAGUGUUGCCAAAUAGGCAAUAUUUCCAGUUUAAAGCUAAAACUGCGUUUUUCUCCCAAUACAUGUAUUUUUCUUUUGAAAAUUAUUAUGCCAUUGUGUUCCUACGACAAUUUUACACAUAAAAGCAACUAAAAUUUUAUUAUAACUUGAGCCAAUCCCAAGAUAUAAUGAUUUGAAGCAAAAAACUCACAAUUUCUAAUCACUUUUCUCGCUAUAUUUCAGAAACCAAGUAAAAUUUCAAAAUUCUGGAAACGCCAUCUUGUAGAGAUUCGUUAGACGAGUAAUGUGGCAUAUCUAACUCAGUUUACCCCAAAAUGGCGUUUGUCAUAAGAUAGCACAACAGCGACGAUUAGUCCCGCGUGCAUUUUUGAGGUAUGUGUUUCAUUCAGCGCUCACCAAUCGAAUGAGAAGCUUGUGGAUGCAUGGUUAGACGGUGCGAUAAGCAGACGGAAAUCAUAAUUUGCGUAGCCCAUAUAUUGUUGCGCAUAUUAUUUUUGAUUCUGAUUCCUGAUUCUACAAUUUCUAAGCUAAAUAAUGGCAACAAAAUCAAACGGGUAUCAGAUCCAAUCCAAAUUACAUUCGUUAAUACAGCAAUUUCAUAUCAACUUUUGAAUAGGGCUAAUAAGAUUUGUAAACAAACUUUUGUUUUGCUUAUUUCUCUUAAUUUGUUGUGAUUUCAACACAGAAGAUAUUUGAAAUUAAUUCUACCAAGGGUAAAGAUGUUGAUUCAUGAAAUUCAACUCGAUAGUGGAAUAAUAAGCGAAAUAAGUUUGUUUACAAAAAUCUCAUUAGCCCUUUUGAAGAAUUGAUAUUGAAUAUCACAGCUUGUAAUAUUUCAAAAUAAGUCUGAAAGCUUGGGGUUAUUUUCAAGGCGCAAGACACGAUUUGUUUAGCGUAAUAAUAAAAAAAACAGAUGGACAAUACAUGAGAACUUUCCUAGAAUUUUCAAAUAUAAUUCAUUGCCAUUUAAUGAAGAUCCAUGCGAAGUGAUCAAGGCACGUGUAAUCGACCUUCACGGAUUUGAACCAAAUUUGGAGGAAUUGUUCACCUAGGGCCAAUAUAUAAAAACCUAAGUUUUUGUGACAAUUGAACCACCCCUCGGGUCAUGUGAGCACCCCCCGUUUUGGCAAAUUGCCAAAGCUCUUGAUUUUCGUUUGAUCAUAUCUCCGGUUCUAUUUACUCUAGAAUCAAACCGCAAGAUGGCUUUUAAAGAAAAUUGUUCAAGGAAUCUAGAAAAAAUAUUAUUUUUUUCCUGGCAGUACUGCCAACUAUGCGAUUUUUCAGUUGAAUAUUAAGAGUUAAUUUUUCUCUCAAUACAUAUAUUUUAAUUUUGAAAAUUCGCAAGACUGAGUUGCUUGAACUAUGAAUUAUAAAUUUCGAAUUAUUUAUUUUGUUUUUACAGAUAUGUCAACAUUAUGAUGUUCAUAUUGCCCAACAUAUCCCUAUUGAUGUCGUUACGCUCUUUGUAAUCUUUCUGUCAGCGUAUGCAUACUCUGUUUACAGUAACCUGAAAUUUCUCGUACUUCACCUUUUCUAGCGGUACUCCAUUCUGUCCGCUCCCCUCUCUCAUUUCAUAACGCAACACAUUGAUCGCUCCUAUUGGUUCAGUAAUGCUUGUCGUGAUUCAAGAUAAUGUCUAAGUAACUAUAAAACGAAACACGUUGAUACCCGCGGUGAGACAGAAGCACACAGUGACAGCUCGUUUCAUACCUUUAACCUUCGACACCUAGUAGUUGUUAUACCAAUGAUAAAGUAGCACACAGUAGUCGUGAUUAUUCCUAACCGUAGCGUAUUACACAUAUAUUCGACAGGUUCUUUUCCAAAUCCCUUCCUCGGCGUUAACACUCACUGAAGCUGAGCCAGCAAAAAAGCAAUGCUUCCGGUGCACUAAUCGCCACUAGCACGCCUCAUAAAAACGUUGCGAAGGCCUGCCUCUUGGCGCAAACCACGAGGGAGUUAUCUCAGAAAACGUAAAAAAAACUCGCUAGUGUGAAUGACCCCUGCGAAACGCCCUAAAAAAGUAGGUACACGUUUAUGAAUCUGUAACCAUUUCUGUCACAAGGUAAGGGGUUCAAUUUAAUCAUUUAAACCCGAAACCAAAACAGCCAAGCAAAAACAGUAAAAUCAAGUCAUCACCUCUAUUUCGAUGUUGUCCGCGUGGGAAAGGGAAAGAAGCAGAGACUCCCGAAUAAGAGUGCAACAUGCCAGCAAGUAUGCACCCAGUUUGUUAUACUUUAGUUAAUUCCAUAUUCAUUGAUUGCGCGAAAAUGCAUCUCUGCUAUUCGGUCCGUCACAUCAAUUUUGAUAGCAUUUCUUAUAGCAAGCAAGCAACCAAAAAUCACAGUAAAACAAAUUGCAACUUUGCUAAACUGAUUCCUGGCAGGGUCCGUAACCGAUAUUGGGUCAUUUUUCGUUCGAUGGUGAAGGCUUUCGUUGUUCGUGUGUGUGUGUGUGUUUUGUCCUAUGAAAUUUAUCUUUUGCUGAAUGGAAUCACGUAUCAAAGUUUUAACUUAGUUUUUUUGUUUCUUCUAUUUCUGACACAUCUUUCGUACUGGUUUCUGUUUCACUUUUCCGGUUUUCUGCUAUGCUGUUUCCGUUUGUUUUUUACAUAAAGUCAAGAAAAAAAAACACUUGAGAUGAGUUCCGUUGUUAAACAUCUAGAGCAGCUCGUUUCCUAAGGUGUAGUGAUGUUGGGUCAAAUCUUUCGGCUUGGGUUGUCAAUAUUUAUCACCCGUACAUCAAUCAAUAGGGCAAUUAAUCGUAGCUGUAGGCUUGAAGAUUCAUUUAGUCACCCAUCCUCACGCCAUUUGUUGUUUUAUCAAAUUCUGUAGAACUAUAUUAUUAUUUCAUGAAACUAAAAAAAAAUCAUGGUUUCAACGCGUAAGUACACACAUCUUUUUUCACUCACACUUAUACUUUUAUUUUAUUCUUUUCGAUUAUUUCACUACUUUACAUCUACACAUCACUACAGGCAAGUAAAACGUUAUUGGUAAUAGUUAGUAAUUAUCUAUAAUUGUAAUAAUCAAAAUCGUUCGCCGAUGGUAGGAUGGUUGGUGCUUGUACAAAUCAUAUUGUUUGCUUCGUAUUACAUGAAUAAUGUUUGGAACUUAUGAUUCUAUGUAAUCCGUCCACAAUAGAGUAUUUUUGACACUUUCAAAUAACUAAUUAAUGCGUUGUCACAAAUGAGUGGAUUUAGGAAGGAAUCGGGGCCGAAACAAGGCAGGAUUGGAAUUCCAACAUGUUUUGGAAUCGUGACUGAGGUUGCUUUAUUGUGCCGUUUCUAUUUUUGAACUGGGUUAGAGUUGUAAUUUUUUUGAGGCUCUUUUUAUUUGAGUUUCAGGUCAAAAGAUCAAUUACGAAAAGUAAAAACCAAAAUGGACACAUAACAUAUUUCAGUUACACGUUUAACGCCAGUUUUAUUUUAUUACAUCAUUCUACAUUUUUGGAUGGAGUUUCAAGAUAAUCGAUGAAUAAUAUUUUGAGUAACGUCCUUUUGUAAUCUUAAUUGUCAAAGAAUUAACGUUCCAAGUGUUUCAGCAUCAUACAAGAAAAAGAAAUUGUCUCAUAAAAUAAAAAUAGCUCCUUUCUUUGUACUAUCAUUCUACAUCUCUGGCUGGAUUCUGAAAAAUAUCGUUGGAUUAAAACAAUUUAAAAAUCACAUUUUAAUGUGUGUAUUAGGAAUGCUCAUUGUUGAUAAUGGUGAUUUUGAAGUCGGCUACUACCAGACGUUUCGGCAUAUGGUGAUGAUCUUUCUCAAGGGAAAUUAUAUUUUUAUUAGAGAACAAAACCAUAACACUUCUCUAAUAAAAUUAUAGUUUACCUUGAAAAAGACCAUCACCAAAGGCUGAAACGUCGGCUAGUAUGAAGCUUUUAUUUUGAUUUUUAAAGACUGAAACAGCUGAUUUCUAAAUCACCAACGGUCCUGAUCUACACAACCUCAAAUUGUUGACAAUCUUGUAAUAAUUCGUCACUUUGACACAGCUGAUUGCCAUAGUUUAACGUAGCCGUGUAACAGUAAAGGCCGUGCACAUCAAAAUUUGGACACAGUUGUAAGAUUGUUACUGAGUCAAACUACUGUUAAACGCGUUUUUUGCUCUUAACCUAUACUUGUACAACCGUGAACAUUGUUUAGACAAAAGCUUUUAGUUUUCAAGAUGGCGUCGUCUAAGUCAACACACAGAAAAGUUAUACACCCAGGUUUUUUAUGCGGUUUUUUUCGCGGUUUUUUACAAGGUUUUUUUUACGCGGAUUUUCCAAUUAACGCGGUUUUUUUUCACGCGGAUUUUCCAAUUAACGCGGUUUUUUUUACGCGGAUUAUCCACUCAACGCGGUUUUUGCAAAAAUGCAAGUCCUUUUGAAUGCAAAAGACUUAAAAGAUUUUCGGAAAGAUGGAAGAGACGGAUCUGGAAGAUUCCUUAUGGCCCGCACCCCAACAAUAUGGGUAUUUUCGGAAUGGUCUUGAAGAGUAGGUUCCAGAAAUUGGUUUUUGACGCCAUUUUGAAAUCAAAGAUGGCGACUUCCGGUUCAGCGAAAUUCGCUAUAACCCAAUCAAUAUGGGUAUUUUCGGAAUGGUCUUGAAGAAUAUGUGCCAGACAUUGAUUUUGACGCCAUUUUGAAAUCAAAGAUGGCGACUUCCGGUUUUGCUAAAUUCGCUAUAACCCAAUCAAUAUGGGUGUUUUCGGAAUGGUCUUGAAGAGUAGGUGCCAGAAAUUGAUUUUUGACGCCAUAUUGAAAUCAAAGACGGCGACUUCCGGUUUAGCGAAAUUCGCUAUAACCCAAUCAAUAUGGGUAUUUUCGGAAUGGUCUUGAAGAGUAGGCGCCAGAAGUUGAUUUUUGACGCCUUUUUGAAAUUAAAGAUGGUAACUUCCGGUUUAGCAAAAUUCGCUAUAACCAAAUUAAUAUGGGUAUUUUCUGAAUGGUCUUGAAGAGUAGGUUCCAGAAAUUGAUUUUUGACGCCAUUUUGAAAUCAAAAAUGGCGACCUCCGGUUUAGCGAAAUUCGCUAUAACCCAAUCAAUAUGGGUAUUUUCGGAAUGGUCUUGAAGAGUAGGUGCUAAAAAUUUAUGUUUGACGUCAUUUUGAAAUCCAAGAUGGCGUCAUCUGGUUUAGCGGAAAUUCCCUACAACCCAUGCAAUAUGGGAAUUGUCGGAAUGGUCUUGAAGAGUAGGUACCAGAAAUUUAUGUUUAUGUAAUGCAUUGUAGUUGAUAGAAUAAAUAUCAUUGAUGGGUGGAACGGAUACAAGUAAUUCUUAGUGGCUUCCUUGGGGGAUAUCUUCAAUAGUUUCGGUACAUGAUUUGUCAAAUUCUGUGCCACUCUAUACGCAUGUUAGUAAGCGCAUUUCCAAAAGUCGAAAUUCCAUUUUCCACAUCGUGCAUCUUAUACAUUUAGCCAAAAUACGUGACCCCCUCCCCCUUUUACCUUCCGACUAGAGCUGCCUAUGAACCUGCUUUACGUUGACCACGAAGACGCUAUCGUCCGCGUAGACGAAGACUACAACUGAGAACAAAGAAUUGCAGGAAAAGGGUGACGGCCAGAACUGACCCCUGAGGGACCUAAUUCGCUUUAGCUUUACGAAACGAAAAAGAAGCGAAGCAGAUUCAAACGCGAUGGAAGGUGAAAAUUUGUUUUUUUUUUCUAGAAAAACGAAAGAACACAAUAUUCCAUACCUUUUUAUUCUCCUGCCACAAAUGAACUAUCACUUCCGGGUUUGUAACCGCGUGGUCAUUUGUAUAUUCGCGUGUGUUAUUGAAUAAUCGCCAGGACCGUGAAUAUGAUGCUUUAUUUUCAAUGUGCUGUUCAGAUGCUAGAAAAUAGCAAUAGUUACCGGUUAUGUCGCCAAGGAACGUGUUAUCUCGUGGAUAUUAGCGUUAUUUUUGGAUUGGUUCGAGGACCGAGUGUAGAGACUUCCAGACGCGACCGAUUCAUGGUCGCGCGAACGCGGGCAUCUGUGGAUUUACGUUUGAGACGGCGUUUGUAAAUAUACAAGUGCUAAAACGUUCAUUUUAUCCCUGUGGUGUUAUCAGGUUUUCGAUAUCGCGAGAGUAGGUGAUCGCGAAGGAUUCAAGCGUUUGUAUGUUAACGUAUUUGUCGCGUGUGUUAGCGCUUACGUUACUUCGCAUGUAUACAUUCGAUUUUGUAACCAUGUGGCCAUUCACAUAUUCGCGUGUGUUGUUGAAUGAUCGCGAUACCUAAUCUUCAGUGUGCAGUUCAGAUUCUAGAAAAGAGUGGGUUAACCCAUAUUACUAGUUUUUUAUUUUUUUUUAUUUAUUUAUUCCUUCGUCUUUGGCUAAUUCUGCCAUACAGACUGUUACUUAAAAUUAUUCAACAUGUACAGUAACAAUAUAUAACAACACAGACAAUCGAGCAACAAGCAAAGGUAACAAUACAGUAUUCCAAACAAAAUUUAAUUACAAAUUCAGCGCUGUGGGGGCUCCCAAAUGUCAAACUUUUCGUGAAAUUGUCGGAAACAGAGUCCUAAUGGCCAUGUUGAUGGAGAUAGUUCCCUGUCAUGUCGUCAUGGAAUGUGUUAUCUAGUAAAUAUGAGCGUUAUUUUUUUAUUGGUUCAACGGAAUGGAUGGACGUAUGUUGCUAGGGCCGAGGGUAGACACUUCAAUGAUACUUGGUGCUAGACGGUACACUUUAUCACCGGGGUAUUAUUAUGCUUGGAAGACAGCGAGCGUAGGUAUGCGUGGAUGAUCGCGAUCAUCUGGUACAGUGUCAUCUUCGGAAGUCUUGGCAUGGGACACUUCAAGUUUAAAAGAGUCCCAAACCAGGGCUAAUUGUCAAGCCCGGGGCAUCUCUAGAGAGAACUUUUCCCUAAACCCAUUUUGUACGUUAUUUCGACCAUGCCGUACCUAAAGCAUUUAUGUGGUAUAAUCACUGUAAUACUGCUUUAGUGGAAAAGCCGCCGUUCCACGUCAAGGUAAAAUGUAAUGCUGAAGGAUUAUGGUGUCCAAUAACGGAUUCUAAAAGAGUAAAUUCUGCAAGACACCAAUUUUAGUUUAUUAUAUUGUUUUCGAGGUUGGGAAAUUCAAAAAUCUUUUGAAAUUUACCGUGAGUUCCUGACAAUCUGUACUUCUGCUCAUUUGUGACAAACAUUAGUUCAGAACUAACGCACAACACACAAAACCACCCUGAACCGUUCGGCAGUUUCAUAGACUAACUCAUCCCACCAUUCAAUUAUAUAAGUAGUAAUAUAUAAGUAUGCCACCCUCAUCACCACCACCACCCCAGUACGCAGUACGUCUCCACGUCAAGACUCACCUCAACUACUUUCUUUUGCUUUAUUUUUCCUUCUUCAAGAUACUGUGAGCGCUCGUUCAUAAGCCCAAGCCCUUUCGCGAACCUAAUCUGACUCUGAACAAGUGCGCAAAAAAGUCGGACCUGCUCGAAACGACAAUUGAUAAGUACCUUCACAAAUUUUACUAUUUUUUUUUUUUCAUUACUCAAUCAAAUACUGGACAACAUCGUUCGCGUCAAAAUAUUUGCUACUCUUUUUCCCACCCGAACCCUAAGGCAGGUGACAGCCCGAAGCGUCCCAAACAGGCGCUGUCUCGGUAUCACAAAUUUGAUGUUGGAUAUUAGUUUAUCCCUUGCCCAAAACGGGGUUCGUUGAAGAUCAACCGGGGAGAUUGCUGGAAUCCCGAAAUCUUGAACCAACCCCGAAUCGGCAGGCGACACUUCAUCGAUGGGGGAAGAGUUGAAGGACGGUUGCUCUCUGUGGGUGAGUGAGCAGAGAAUAUUUUCAACUAGCGAAGAAGAUGGAGCCGGCUUCAAAUCUUCCCCCGGGAAGGUUACGUGUGUCACAUCAAUUUUGUUGAGUGAGAAGUCCCUUGUUGGUUCCAAGCCGCCGGAAUCGUGGGGGAACGAUCGGCCGGGCAAACCAGCAGGCGAAAUUUCGCUCCGCGGAAUUUCACAGCCCAAGUUUAGCGCAUACAUAAUUUAAUUGUGACGGAGAAGGUUUCUAUUUAUAUUCAUUUAAAUUUACUGUAUGUUAUUUUUCCCAUAUAUUUGAUACAUAUAUUACAAUAGGCAUAUAAUGUUAACCGAUCGAAGGGCUGUUGGACUUUUCAUCCCCUGCCUGGGGGCUUUCGGCGUCGAGUUCAGAACUGAUAUAAACCGCUACUGUAUUUCCAUAGGUUUAGUUCGAACAAUCAGUUGCCUGAGUAUUUUCUGUUUCAUUAGACAACUAAUUGCAUUCGCCCUUUGGGAAGGCACCGUUUUUAACGCAAUGGAUCGGGAGUUCCGAAACAUAUUCUGUCUAUAAUACAAGGAUAAGUCGGUGUUUGCUAUAGUGAGAGUGACUCAGGUCAAAUAUUACCUAUUAUUAGUAAAAAUAAUUGCCUAUGGAUUUUUUUAAGGAUACAUUUCUCAUUUUCAUCGCGGAAUGCUGUUUAUGUUCUCAUCAUUUAUGAUUGAAUUUUUUUCGUCACGUCAUCCACCACUGUUCGUUUUCCCAAUUUGCGUAAAUCGUAGAAUAAUUUCCCACCGGCACACGUGGUCGAUAUUAAGCUAGAGUGAACUUGUGUUGGCAUACAAUUGGUUCAUUCUGACUUAACGUUUACCAGUUUAUCUAUUAGACUCCCCACUAAAACCCUAUCCAUAAGCAAAAAUUUUUGCCCAUCAUUAACAGCAUAACAAAUUUAAAAAAAACUAAUCAUCUUCCGGUACGGGGGUUCUUCGUAGAGGGCAUUCGUUAACAUCGUUUUCUUUGCUACAUAUAUCCCUACUAGUAAUGGUUUGUAAUUAGCAACACGGCAAAAUAUUCAGUACAUAACAAAUUCACACAUCAGUAGGUGAUAUGGUUAAUCGUAAUCGUUAAUUACUAUUGCAAAUAAUCAAACUUGUGAAACUUGGCUCACACAGGUCUCAAGUUGAGCCCCACAAAAGCAAUGAAUGUUUUCCUUCCGGUCGUUUCCACGAGUUGGCAGGUUCGUACUACCAUAAUCAGAAAAUAAAUCAACAAUAUUAAUCUAAUUUCGCUGACAGGCAAACACUUCUGUAGUGUAACUUUAAUAAAAAUACAAAUUAGUCCUCGGAAUAAUGAUACAAGAAAAGAAUAAAAAAAAAGUUGGAUUAAA